GGGAGCAGGAGGGUCGCUGACAGUGUUAGACACUGAGGAAAGUCCCCUCUCCGCGAUGCAGGCGUCCCGUCACAAGGCGGGGGUCCGGGAGGGCCGGCUCUGCAGCAGAAACGAACCAUGCCAGGGGUACGAUGAACCC
rnacentral:RNase_P_RNA from 1 species